GCUAGUAAUCGUAGAUCAGAAUGCUACGGUGAAUACGUUCCCGGGCCUUGUACACACCGCCCGUCACACCAUGGGAGUGGGUUGCAAAAGAAGUAGGUAGCUUAACCUUCGGGAGGGCGCUUACCACUUUGUGAUUCAUGACUGGGGUGAAGUCGUAACAAGGUAACCGUAGGGGAACCUGCGGUUGGAUCACCUCCUUA
rnacentral:rRNA from 1 species